UUCAGUGCUUUUCCAGUUUUUUUUUUCCCUAAAAAGAACCAUUCAUCCAAACUUUUUUUUUUUUAAGAUUUUCUUUUUCCUUUUUUUUGCCGGUGGCAGUAAAAUGAACUUUUUUUUUUUUCUGAUAAGUCAUUCUUUCGAAAGUCCCUGCAGCGUUCCACAAAUAACCCCAUUUGUUGGUUAAUUCUCCACAUUUUUCUUUUUUCUUUAAAGAGGAGUAGGGUUGAGGAGGCUGGGUAGGAAAAAAUAAAAAGUAGGAUCCAGAGAAUUAAAAGUGCCCUUCAAGCAAGUUCAGGUGUGCCGUUACCUCUUGCCCAUCUCGUUCUGUCUGAGGAACUGGAUGUUGAAGCUGUGGAACUCUGGGUUUGAGUCCAGGUACACUUCACCAUAGGGAGUGUACUGAACCUGAACGACACAAGAAGAACCACUUUGCUUUUAG
rnacentral:lncRNA from 1 species